rnacentral:rRNA from 1 species
UACGUAGGUGGCAAGCGUUGUCCGGAUUUAUUGGGCGUAAAGCGAGCGCAGGCGGUUCCUUAAGUCUGAUGUGAAAGCCCCCGGCUCAACCGGGGAAGGUCAUUGGAAACUGGGUCACUUGAGUGCAGAAGAGGAAAGCGGAAUUCCAUGUGUAGCGGUGAAAUGCGUAGAUAUAUGGAGGAACACCAGUGGCGAAGGCGGCUUUCUGGUCUGUAACUGACGCUGAGGCUCGAAAGCGUGGGUAGCAAACAGG